GAAGGGGUGCUAUACAUGCAAGUCGAGCGGACCGACGGGAGCUUGCUCCCUUAGGUCAGCGGCGGACGGGUGAGUAACACGUGGGUAACCUGCCUGUAAGACUGGGAUAACUCCGGGAAACCGGGGCUAAUACCGGAUGCUUGAUUGAACCGCAUGGUUCAAUCAUAAAAGGUGGCUUUUAGCUACCACUUACAGAUGGACCCGCGGCGCAUUAGCUAGUUGGUGAGGUAACGGCUCACCAAGGCGACGAUGCGUAGCCGACCUGAGAGGGUGAUCGGCCACACUGGGACUGAGACACGGCCCAGACUCCUACGGGAGGCAGCAGUAGGGAAUCUUCCGCAAUGGACGAAAGUCUGACGGAGCAACGCCGCGUGAGUGAUGAAGGUUUUCGGAUCGUAAAACUCUGUUGUUAGGGAAGAACAAGUACCGUUCGAAUAGGGCGGCACCUUGACGGUACCUAACCAGAAAGCCACGGCUAACUACGUGCCAGCAGCCGCGGUAAUACGUAGGUGGCAAGCGUUGUCCGGAAUUAUUGGGCGUAAAGCGCGCGCAGGCGGUUUCUUAAGUCUGAUGUGAAAGCCCCCGGCUCAACCGGGGAGGGUCAUUGGAAACUGGGGAACUUGAGUGCAGAAGAGGAGAGUGGAAUUCCACGUGUAGCGGUGAAAUGCGUAGAGAUGUGGAGGAACACCAGUGGCGAAGGCGACUCUCUGGUCUGUAACUGACGCUGAGGCGCGAAAGCGUGGGGAGCGAACAGGAUUAGAUACCCUGGUAGUCCACGCCGUAAACGAUGAGUGCUAAGUGUUAGAGGGUUUCCGCCCUUUAGUGCUGCAGCAAACGCAUUAAGCACUCCGCCUGGGGAGUACGGUCGCAAGACUGAAACUCAAAGGAAUUGACGGGGGCCCGCACAAGCGGUGGAGCAUGUGGUGUAAUUCGAAGCAACGCGAAGAACCUUACCAGGUCUUGACAUCCUCUGACAACCCUAGAGAUAGGGCUUCUCCUUCGGGGGCAGAGUGACAGGUGGUGCAUGGUUGUCGUCAGCUCGUGUCGUGAGAUGUUGGGUUAAGUCCCGCACGAGCCCACCCUUGAUCUUAUUUGCCAGCAUUCAGUUGGGGACUCUAAAGUGACUGCCGGUGACAAACCGGAAGAAGGGGGGGAUGACGUCAAUCAUCAUGCCCCUUAUGACCUGGGGUACCCCCGUCCUCCAUGGGCCGAAAAAAGGGCCGCAAACCCCCCAGGGUAAACCCU
rnacentral:rRNA from 1 species